CAAACCAAAGCUGGCGACCGGCGCACGGGUGAGUAACACGUAUCCAACCUGCCUCAUACUCGGGGAUAGCCUUUCGAAAGAAAGAUUAAUAUCCGAUAGCAUAUGUUUCCCGCAUGGGUUUUAUAUUAAAGAAAUUCGGUAUGAGAUGGGGAUGCGUUCCAUUAGUUUGUUGGGGGGGUAACGGCCCACCAAGACUACGAUGGAUAGGGGUUCUGAGAGGAAGGUCCCCCACAUUGGAACUGAGACACGGUCCAA
rnacentral:rRNA from 1 species